GCUUGGGACACAUACUUCUUUAUAUGCCCAUAUGAACCUGCUAAGCUAUGGAAUGUAAAGAAGUAUGUAUUUCAGGC
rnacentral:pre_miRNA from 7 species